rnacentral:lncRNA from 1 species
UCGAUGGCGACAGCGGUGGCCAUCUCAGGUACGCGGGUGUUUCGGAGCAGGGAUUGUGGUUAGCGGGAGGCGGAUCCGGCCUUCUCCUUCGACCCUGUUGUUCGAAGUUGGCGGAUUUGCGAUCCGGCGAGCAUGGGGUUGGUCCCGGCCGACGUGCCACAAUGCUCUCGAACCCGCCGUUCGCGGUGGGUCGCUCAUUCGGCUCACAAAGCUUUUCAUGCGAUGGUGCUUCGUCGGAUCACGGCGUGUUGGGCGUUCGUCUUCCUCUCCCUCGACGGUGCUUCGGCGGCGGCGACGGGCGAUGCAGGGCGUCGACGACGAGUUGUGCAGGGACCCCCAAGGGCCUGAUUGUAAUCUUGUUUCUUUUUCUGGGGUGUUUUCUGCUUAUGUUCUGGACACCUGUGUGUUCUGGGUCCUUCGUCUGGGUGCUACUACAUGUGUUGUACUCCUGUUUGCUAUAUGAAUGGCAUGUGGUGCUUCAAAAAAAAAAUGUAUUCUUGCAACCUUCUGCCGCAUGUUGCAGAAAGCAGCAUUCGGCAGUUCAUCAUUUUUCCAGCUUCGCUGGCGUGCAAUUGUACAUACUUUUUCUCCUUUGUUCCAGUGAAGAUACACAAUGUUGGGGCUGCAUUGGCUGUAGCGUGUGCAUCUGAUACGAUUUUGAAGCUUCCUGUCUCAGUGGGUUAGCUUCACACGUCUGGACCGUCUGAUAAGCAUGGGCAUCUCCAAGAUGUUUGAAAAAUAGUAAAACUGAUCUAACAUCAUCCCACAUUUGUGCGUGACACGUCUGGUUUUGUUCACGGACACCCUUCGUCUUUCCUCAAACUUUGUGUCCUCCAAUUGCAUUCUCGUCCCUUCAAAAUUCAACCAUCAUACUAUGAAGGCAUCAUAGAUACUCCCUCCAUUCCAAAAUAGAUGAUUCAAUUUUGUACUAGCAUUAGUAUAAAGUUAGUAUAAAGUUGGGUCAUCUAUUUUGGAACGGAGGGAGUAUAUAGUAAUUUCAAGUCCCCCCUAGAUAUUUAUUCCAUUAUUAUAUUGAUGCUUCCUUUGAAGAGACUUCCUCGGAGGCAUCUGAUUCGUCUUGCUCGAUGGUGUUGGUCAUGGCCGCCUGGCUCAGACGACGAGCACCUCCUCCUUUGCUAGGUGGGUGAUAUCUGGUUUUAAAUAAGAGGGCUGCAGCGGGAAUUGAAGAGGUCCAACAAGGAUAGGAAAGGGCACACCAUGGGGUGGAAUUCUUUUUCUGUUGAGUCCAUGUGUCAUGGCUGAGAUAAGACUCGUCCGCGCAGCCUGUUUCUCCGCACAUAUGGAUUGGUUGGACGAGUACAGAUUGUCCGGACAUUUGUAUUGGGUAUGGGAGAGCUGGGCGAUCGUUUUGGUGUGUGGGCAUGUUGGGACUGUCCGCCCGACAUACACGUGGAAGAAGCCUUUGAAGAUGCUGUUAGGUGUGCACUGCUCCUUCGGAAGAGAAAAAGGUGCAAGUGGUAGUAUUAACCGACCUGUCUUGUUCUAUCAAGAAAGUACUCGCCGAACGAUCAGCAAUUCAGCGUUGCGUCUUCUUCUUCGGCGGUACAUGCUACUGCCUGUGAGCUAGGUGGAUGGUGACAGUAGCUACCGUUAGUUAGCAGCACAUGACAUGACAUGUAAUGUACAUCCAGCAAAUGCAAGAACGAAAUGCACGCCACAUUUUCAAUCGAGUCGCUCGGGACCAAGCUUCCGGUGGUGCUACCGCUGUUGCUGUUGGCAGUGACGAGGACAAGUACGACGGUGUCAUCGUCUGUUCUACAAACGCCCUCCUUUUCUGUUUUAUGAAGUCGCGUCAUUGGGGCGGAUCGCAUGGCCUAAUCAUUGUACACUCUCUAAAAAUACUGAUCGCGUGUUGUUCAGGCCGGUGGUCAGAACGCGCUGGUUCCCAAUCUCCUGAUAGCGAAUAAGUAACGUGGUUAGUCAAUGUAUGAUUGAUUUGUGUCUACAUUUCAUGUUUUUUUUUUGUUGUAAGGAUUUUAGUUUUGAUGGAAGCUUGAGAAUGUGACUCCAACUCGCUUGGUUGCCUGCCAAACAUGGCUUCGCCAGGCUUUUUGCCACACCCUAUCGUAUUUUUGACUAGCUAGUCAUAACAAGUUUAGGUUCUUUUUGGGUAUAAGUGGCCCAUGCUAUUUAAAAAAAAACAUUAGCUAAAUUUUUGUCAAGCCUGGAGAUAAAAGAAAUAUGAAAGCCAACAAGUUAAGCAGUGAACUAACUCUUCCCUAUUGAAUUUUGCUUGCCAAUAGGCACUUGAAAGUUUCAUCUCACCGUACCUCAUGUACAAAUGGACCAGAAGAUAGAAAACAUAUAUUAUUUCAACAUCAGAUGGUGAAGGAUGUUUGGAGAGGGUUGGGUUUGGACGAUGUAAAAAACCUUGUGAGAUGGACCGUGUUGGUGAAGUUGUUCUUGAGUUUUUACUCCAUUUGCCUGAUAGGGGUUUAUCUAUUUUGGGUCUUAAAAAUGUUCGUGAGAUGAUCGCCAUUACCACUUGGUAUUUGUGCCGGGAAAGGUGUAAGCUCGUUCAUGGUGAGAGGACACAAGAUAUUAAUCAAGUUGCUUUGGAGCUUCAUGCUUUGGCGGCUAACUAUGUGGUUGCUUCUUCCCCUAAUGUCACCAUGAAGAGGAGGUUGGACUUGGCCCCGGUGGAGUUUGUUAAACUUAAUGUUGAUGCCUCUUUCGAUUAAGACCUGCUUAGCGGCUCGGCUGGUGCAAAUUUGAGAGAUGCUAGCAGAAAGUUUAUCUGGGUGGGGGUUNNNNNNNNNNNNNNNNNNNNNNNNNNNNNNNNNNNNNNNNNNNNNNNNNNNNNNNNNNNNNNNNNNNNNNNNNNNNNNNNNNNNNNNNNNNNNNNNNNNNNNNNNNNNNNNNNNNNNNNNNNNNNNNNNNNNNNNNNNNNNNNNNNNNNNNNNNNNNNNNNNNNNNNNNNNNNNNNNNNNNNNNNNNNNNNNNNNNNNNNNNNNNNNNNNNNNNNNNNNNNNNNNNNNNNNNNNNNNNNNNNNNNNNNNNNNNNNNNNNNNNNNNNNNNNNNNNNNNNNNNNNNNACUGAGAUUUAGCCCGUAUCGGCUGGAUGCAAUCGCUUUGUCAUUAAUUUUGAUAAUCUCUAGGUCAUCAUCACCAUGAAGAAUGGCCCUCGAUUAGCAGGAGCAAGGCACGUCAGUUUUUGAUGAUUGUUAUGACAUUCCUUGUGAUUUCCCUCAAAGUAGUUUCGUACAUUAUAAUAAGGAAGCAAAUAAGUUUUACUCAUGAUCUUGGUAUGUUGGCCAGAUUUAAUGCUACCAGUGCUUAGUUCAAGGAACCUAUGAGCCAAACUAUACCUUUCCUUAUGGAUGAUGUAACUGUUAUUUGAAUUUAAUAAAGUGAUUUUGUUUCAAGAAAAACUAAGAUGUGUCUACAACUGAAGGGCUACACAUGAUUUUUGUUGAGUUGGAGAAGAACAAGAAAGACAAAGCAAACACACAUUAAAAAAAGAUAAAAAUUUGAUUGAACUGAAAAAACCCAGAUAAUUGUCCAAUAGCAAAACCAAACACGAUUUGGGAAGAAAGAACAUCACAAUUAGGAAUAUCUAGCAAUCAAUGAUUUUACCGAAUAAUGCACAUAAUAAUUAUCAUAACCAAAAUUCUUGACUAGUUAGGCUAGAGGGAUGGGUAAAACGCGAAAUAAUUUUAGUUUAUGUAUUGUAGUUUUUUUUAGAAAGGAGAAUGACCCCCGGCCUCUGCAUCUGGGCGAUGCAUACGGCCACUUUAUUAAUUAUUCUCACAAGACCUUAUAAAGUCAUACAACAGCAAGACUAAAGCCACCGUCUAAGCAACAACUGUCGCUACACCUAUCCAAUCGAUGAAGGGGCGCUAAUAGUCUAGGCCUAAUACCAAACAGACAUCACAGCCAAACCUAAACACCUAAGACCUGGGGUCCCAACCAGGACGCCUGCCGGGUAUGGAGCACCUACCAGUCCGGCGCACUCCUCAACCAGGACGCCUGCCGGGUAUGAGGCCGCCGCAGCCACCUGGCACCAAUCCAUCUUCAGAGCUGUACUGUUGCAUCUACCUUGCACGGUCUAGCUACCGUCGACGCCACCAUGACGCCAGACAGCUUCCUCCUCCUGCGCGAGUCCACCUCCGCGCAUCAGACACGGGGACUCGACUGCGCCAUGCCGCCGAGACCCACCGUCGAUGAUACUGUUGAUGCCACACCGCUCCACCUACAUGCCGUCUCGCGUUGACUCCGAACUACUAGCAACUCCACCACCCUGAGCAGUCCUCGGCCGACGCCUUCAGGAAGGAACACGACACCAAAGUGCCAUCGUUGCCCAAACAGAGGAACAGAGGCUUUCGUCUGCGCUCAUGGCAGAGGUGGGGGGCGUAUGAUCCACACCGAAGCCUACAAGAAGGUAAUCGGCGCCGAGGGCGUCGACUUUGGUGCGGCCGCCACGUCGGCCUGGAGUUUCCCCCGGAUCCAUGCCCACCCGCCAGAUCCGUCUAGGCAGUAUUGGCAUCGACCGUACUCGCUACCGUAUCCAGCACGAACCGAAGUAGAUCGAGUCGGAGACGACACCUCCCAUGAAACUCCGGGCGGCCAUCGAGGAGCCGCCGUAGUGCCGCCGCGUCCACGCCGCCCACGCAACCGUGUAGGGCCCCCCAUCCGCGCCCGCGGGUGCCGCCCGCCAGGCAUGCUGCACCGCGCGCCACUGAUCGAGGCUGCCGCCCCGAGAUCCCCGAGUCGCCCGAGGUGCCGGCGGUCAGAUCUGAAGCAGAUCGACCAAGACCACCAUAGGUGCGCCCCGAACGGCCCUCCACGCGACCACCGGGGGAAGCAUCUCCUGCCGUCGCCCCCUGAGCCCUCGCAGGCACGCCCCGUCGCCAAUGCGCCGCCAACUGCCGCCGAACACCACCCGCGCCAGGUCCGGCCACUGCGGGGAGGAGAGAUCCCGCAGCCGCCGAUGCCAACCGGGCUUUGCCCGGCGGCGCGCCCCGGCGGCGGCGGGCAGGAGAGGUGGGAGAGAGGGCCGAGGGCUUGGCGGCGCUAGGGUUCCCCCUGGUCGCCGCGCGGGGCCGGGGAGGAGAGGAGCUAACUAACAAUAUCUCCCUUUAAUGAGAGAGAUUUUCCUUAUGUAUUGUAGGUGAUGACAAGUUUGACAUAAAUAAAGUGAAAACAUUUGCUUAUAAGUCACGAGUAGGUCUAGGAAACACAUCUUCUAUUUCUUAUUCAUAGCAGGGAAAACGGGGGGAGUGAUAGGAUGCAAAUCUAGUUAUAGAACCAGACAUUUGCAUUAGUUGAGCUUGUGCCUAUAGGCAACAAAAACUGAAUCUCAAAUCCAAACAGACAAUGUGUUUAUGUCUGUGUGUCAUGUUCGGUGAAGUUUAAGCCUAGCGCACACCCAAAGUGCAUAGUUUUUUAUGCCCAUUUUGCAUGUUUUAUGACUCCAAAUAGGGUGUGGAUCGCGGACUGUUCGGAAAAGCAGGUUUGACCGAAUUUUAGGCCCAUAUUGCAAGCGGGCGCAAGAAUUGGCGGGCACACAUCUGUUCUUUACCCAUUUCUUAUUAAGGGUUUUGGAGAAUGAUUAAUGAAUGAUAGACUUAUCUCGGUGGGUGAGAUAGCAGUCAUAAAAAUGAUGGAUCAACAUGUGAAGCAAAAAUAUUACAAAUCAAAAAGCGAUGACUUCCCUCACAGUGUUACUAAUUAGGCCUUAUGGAACAAGCAAAAUGCACGAGUCUUCUAAAACAAGUCCAUCGUCAUCACCUACCUUUUUGACCAACAUCAAGAGCGAGGCCAAGUUUUAGGCAACCGCGGGUUCCAGUCACUUGAGAAACAUCAUUGCCAGGGGAUUAGUUCAACUUGUAUAUUUCGUCCUUUUCUUUUUGUAAACCUCUGCCACCAUUCUUCUUAAUUAUUGGAUGAGGGAAAUCUUUUGGCCUCGAAAAAAAUGGUAUACCCACACCUUUCGUUCACGCCAUGCGCAUUUGGACAAGCAUGACAUACAAUUUUCAUAUUCUUUGUUGGCUGUAAAUGCUAAGUGUAUCAUGCAAUACUCAAGCACAUUUUUAGCUUCAUUUUGCCAAACUAAAGAAAAGCACGAACUAGCCAAGCAACAAAAGAUCAUCAAUAAUAAAUGUCCCAUGGCUUCUCACAAAUGUUCAUACUUGUUUAUGAAAAAAAAUGUAAGGGUGGGUUUCUAUCCAAUACCCAUGUGCGUGUUUUCUUUUCCUCAAUUCUAUAAAACUUAUAAAUACAAUUUUGACUAAGUUUUAAGAGAAUAUUCUGGUUAGGGAUACCUAGCAUCCAACAAAUUUAUCCCUCCCGCGCAAAAAAACAAUUUUAUCUAAUAAUGCGCAUAGUCACACCCUCACAAAUUUACAGAAGAGGAAAACAUGCCGCAAUCCAGAUUCUGCUGAUCUGGGUAUUAUUUGUCUGAGAUUGCACCAAGUAGUGUAGGUUUUUUUUAAUGAAAGGUAGAAGCAGCACAAGCUGAACCUCAAGUCCAAACAACAUAUCCGGUGAAGCCUCAAUCUAGCAGCACGAUCUCUUUGAUUUGCAGAAUUCCAAAAGAAUAUAUGAAUACAAAAGUAAUACUUCCUUCAAUCGGAAGAAAAUGUCCCAGUUGUGAACUAAGGUUAAUGUCAUGCCCAUUCAAAUCCUACAUAAUUUUGGUUCGUUUGCUUACAUAUUGAAAAACACAAAGUAUUCUUUUCGAAGAGGCUUGAGUGGAUGCUUCCAUCAUACCAAGCAAAUGACCAACAUAGAAAAAUUUCCUAAAAUUUAUAUUUCUAAAUUCUUAUGAGCAUCCUUUGGAACAAAUAGGCCCUAACAAUGAUCGAAGGCAAAAAGAAAGAAAGAAAGAAAGAUUGAAGGCAAAGAAGGACGACCGCGAAGCAACCUCCACACGAAAACAUGGAAUCAUCUGUCACGUUGGACGAGAGAGCAUUGAGAGGCAUCUCUCGAAGCAAGGGGACAGAUCACAGUGAACUUCGAGCUGCCACCACCAACUCCAAGGCCAAAAACGGCGCACACGCAAAGCAGCUGUACCGGGACCAAAACACCUCGCUAAUCCAAAAUCUACUGCUAAACACCAGGCAAAGGCACCUACCAGUACCACCCACCAAUACCAGCGGCAGUAAAUUUCGAGCUGCUGCUGCUACUGCUGCCUGCUCGGGACACCUCACUCCAUCUCCGCCUCCGCCUCCGCCUCUGCCCCCGCCCCCGCUCCGCCCCCGCCACCGCCACCCCCAGCGCUCCUAGGGUCCCCUCUUGGCUGCUCGCGCGCCGCGUCGCCGUUGCCGGGGUUCGGAGGAGGGGCGUGCUGCUCGGGGGGAACCCAAAUCGGGCCUCGCGGGAGCUGUUCCCUCGCCCCGCCGCCGAUGCCUGCGAGGUUUCGCGGCUGAGCUUUCGUUUUUGCCUCCGAGAGCUCGCGGCGGGGAGGUCUGGACGUUUCUGGGGUUUAGAUCGAGGCCUCUGAGCUCGCUCUCCGCAAUGCCGGGGAGGUCGGGCGUCGAUUGCUAGGGUUUUGCUCGUGGAUUUGCCGAGAGAGGGCUGGGGAUCGUUCGGAAUGCGGCGAGUUACCCGAGGUCUGGUGCUCGCUUUCGCGCAAUUUGGUGUUUCCGGACCAGCUGUGCCUCGUCGAUUUGGUUUCCUGCCAAGCCUGUGAAGGGGGCGAGGAGGAGGAGGGGUUUUGGGGAGGUUGGGACAAGUUGGUGAUUUGGUCGCAAUGUCCGGGUCUAGUUCGAGGGGGCGGCUGUCGCCGGCUUCAGGUGGUGGAGACUCUGAGCCGCGGUCUGCGGGGAGCAGGACACGAUCUGUGUCUGCUACACGGGGUCGGAAGGCGUCACCGAGGCCUGGGAGGGAUGUCGCAUCAGCAACAGCGACAGUGGAGGAGAAGAAGCCUGCUGCUGUGCCUACAUUGCUCCCUUCGCUCAGCGUGCCGGCAGGGAUGCGCCGGCAGGAGCUGCUACUGCGCUCAGGGUUCUCUCUUGACGCCUCAUGCUCAUCAGACGCUUCGACAGACUCAUUCUGCAGCCGGGCAUCCACUGGGCGGAUUGGGAGGCCGGUGUUUGGGCCGAGGAAGAAGAAGACCGUCUCCCAGGCUGAUCAUAAGGUCUCUGCCAUGCUGGAAAGGGAGGCUGGAUCUGCUUCUCCAAGUGAUGCUUCUGGUCUGAAGAGGAGGUGUGCUUGGGUUACUGCUAAUACCGGUGCGUCUUUUUUCCAUUGCUUUGCAUUUUCUUGAGCCACUGCUCCUUUGAACAUAUAAACCUGCAAUUGGUCUAGUGCAAUGGUUUCUAGUACUGCAGUAGUAGCUUUGUUGUAGGGAGAGGAGGCAAUCUGCAUCCGAUCUAAAGUUCAGAUGAAAAGGUCCAUUUUAUUGAGUUUAGAAUGCUAUAUUCCAAUGAUGCAAACCGGGGACCAGGAUUCUAUGAUUCAUUUAUGGAUGAAGCAUUUCAGGGGUCUCUGAUCUUUAAGAUUCCAACUGUUGCAGUUGCUAAGAAAAUUUAUGAUUAAGUAGUUAGGAAGCUUGCUAUCCAUGUGCCAGAGCCAUGAGUUGGUUGCGAGAUCUUAUGGGUUUCACCUCUAGCCUACCCCAACUUGUUUGGGACUAAAGGCUUUGUUGUUGUUGUUGUAAGUAGUUAGAAAGCUAUCAUCACAAGGAGGUACAUUGCUAAAGACUGUCAUUCUACCUUAGGCUAGUUAUAGUGGCCAGUAACUUAGACUAGUAACAUAUGCAUGUCACUAGUCUAUGUUACUAUCAUCAUAGUGGAUAGUAACAUAAGUGUAGUGUCAUGCAAGCAUUCAUUUAUUAUGUUGUAGACUCAUUUUGCAUCGGGGUGUGUUAUGUUAUGGUAACAUAUUAUGUUACUACAAACACCUCUCUCCUCAUUAACUCCAUGCCACAUAAGCAUAUAUGUCUUGGGGUGCGUUAUGUUACUACCUAAGUUACUCCCACUAUGGCUAGCCUUAUGAAGUUACUCACUGUAUCAGUAUUCUUGUUUACAUUAAUGUGUUGUGUGGAUCUGAUGUGGUUGUGUGUAAGCAAUUUAAUUUUUGAUUUUGUAUGCAGAAGGUAGGUAUUACUUGAUGUGACUAGGAAAGUGUAGAAUUACGCCCUGCUGAUUUUUGUCAUACAGGAACAGGAACUAACUCUAGAAAACCUUCACACAGUGGUGAUUUAAAUAAGGGUAUUUUAUAUUUCUACUUACUGAAACAACAUAUACACAGAUAUUCUGUAAGAUCAUGCACGAUGAAAGCACAGCUAUAACUUAGAAAUUUGAAACAAUGUCUUGUUGGACUAGCAAUGUUCUUUUGAGAACAUGUAGGACUAGCAACAUUUGUCAUGCUACAUAUAGACCUUAUUGAAGAGAGUAGGUGAAAAUGAGAAUUUGGUAGGUAUCUUCUUAGUGAGUUAAGGACUUAGUGUGUGACUAUCUGUAUGACCUAUUCAAAGAAGUUUGCAAUUGGAUGCCCAUGAGUUUUGUGUAUUGUGGCUAGCAUUCUAUUACAGAGCUGCAUGUGGGCUACCCCUGUUGUUUACCAGUAGUGAUGCACAUAGAGUAGUACAACAAAUUUCACUGACCACAAAUAUGGAUAUAAUCAUUGAGUACCGUCACAAGCAUGUAAACUAAUUUGAAGAACUCACUAGAAUCUUGUGGAUUUCCAAGUUGGAAUGUAAGUUUGAGAAUGAUUUUCACAUACUUGCAUGUUCAUAGGCUUGAUAUUAAAGUAGACAGGAAUGGGUCCUUUUCUCUCAUUCCCUGUUUUGCUCCAGUAAUGCUAUUUUCAUUACUAAGGACCUGGUAAUAUGUAAUCACAACUUUAUUUUUUCACGUGAAUCAUUACAGUGAUAAUGCAAAGCUGCAUAUUGAAACCCAGUCUGGGACUAUUAUAAAUUUUGGGGGCAUGAACAUAUACUUUUGAGCGAAGUGUAUGAUUUUUAUUUUUAGAGUUUUUCACAUUCCUGGAUAUCCUUUCCCCGCUACUUUUUAAUUACCAAUUGCUGCAAUAAGAUGAAGCUGAUUAUACCACUAAUCUAGUGUUUAUUUAGAGAAUUCAUCACACUUAAAAGCUAUUAUCCUCUCUUUUGCCUAUUAGCCAUCAUUCGUUUCAUAUAAUCCAUGGUACAUUUUAUAUCUUCCAAAAUAUUCUUCGUUAGUUCUUAUCUUUAGUGUGGUCAUCACUUGAUUUGAUCAUAUUCACUUACAAGUGCAGAUCCAUGUUAUGUUGCAUUUCAUGAUGAAGAAUGGGGAGUUCCAGUUCAUGACGACAAGUAUGCAACCAUGAACCUUGAAAAAAAAA